AAACCACAAAGGGAAAAAAAAAAGUAUUCCAACCAACGAGGCAGCCCAGGCGGCCGCCAAUGCCAUUUAUCCUUAGCAAACGAGCCAACGGCAAAGGACGCACGGGGCGGGAGCCAGAGUGGGAAUCGGGGCUGAGCUGGAGCAGCUGGAGGGGAGGAGAUGUUUGAGCUGCUCCCCAGUUUGGGGCUGCUCCCCAGUUUUGGGGUGCUCCCCAGUUUGGGGCUGCUCCCCAGUUUUGGGGUGCUCCCCAGUUUUGGGGUGCUCCCCAGUUUGGGGCUGCUCUCCAGUUUGGGGCUGCUCCUUGGUUUUGGAGUUGCUUCCCAGUUGGGGAUUGCUCCUCAUUUUGGGGUUGCUCCUCAUUUUGGGGUUGCUCUCCAGUUUUGGGGUUGUUCCCCAGUUUUGGGGUUGCUCCCCAGUUUUGGGGCUGCAUCAGGGCCAGUCCAGAAGGGCUCCGUGCUGGGCUCGGCUCCCCGAGGCUUUUUUUUGUUCUUUUAGGAGGAAGCUCCAACUUUUUUGGGUUUAAUUUUUCCAAGAAGGUUCUGGAUCAGAGGGGAAGGGGGAAAGAAAUCAAAGAAUUUUGGGGAGGGAAGAGGGGUGAGAGUGGCCUGGGCAGAGCAAAAGCAUGGAAGGAGGAAAGGGGUGGAUUCUGGGGUGAAAACACCGGAUUAUUGAGCCGUCCAUCCUCACGGCAGCACCUUGCCCAUAACCUCUCCCAAAAAACCCUCCUUCCCGAAAAAACCUAUGCAGGGAAGAGCAGGUCCCCACCGCCUCCCUCAGCACCGGGAUUGGUCCUUGCUGAGGCUGGGAAAACCCACAGGGAGCUCAUCCCCUGUUCCCACUGAGCUCCAGAGCACCCCGGGAGGAGAAGAGGUUGUGGAGGAACUUUUGGGAUUUGUGGAAGGACAGGGAGGACCCCCUCCCCUGCCAAGCCCGGGGUGACAGCACUGCAGAAAAGCCUUUUUGGGUUUAACUUUGCUUCGUGGGGAUUUCGGGGGGAGCCGCCCCCCCCACCCCACGCCUGCUUUCUUUCCAAGGCAACUCCAUAAAUCCAAUGUAGCAAAGAGGGCCUGGAAGCAGGAGCGGGAUCGGAAUAGGAUGAGGAGACAAGAAUGAUGAAUGAAAAAAUAAUCCAAGCGAGCUGCUGAGGAUGGGAAAAACCCCUGGGAUCAGGUGGAGAAUUCUCUCAAGGAUUCAGGGCCACAUCACAAGGAAGGAACACCGGACUGGAGCCCACACCUCCACGGGCACUGGGAUGAGCCGGACGGACGCUGUUUUUCCCACCAAACCUCCUCCUCCUUUUUGACAGUGGCCUUUCCCCCCUCCAGCACUCAGCCAAGCCACCGUGGGACCCCCAUCCCGCCUGGAGACUCCCAGGAUUUCAGCGAUCCCCCCUGAGCGCUCCUCACAUGCCUUACACAGCUUGGGACUCGCCGGGGAGUCACUCCGAGGAUGCUCUUCCCACUCCGCUUCCGCGCCCCCGACGGCCUCGGAUCCACCUGAGCAGUAGGAAUGGGAUGUCUGGGAGCGUUCCCAGCUCUCCCAGCACGGAUCAGGGUAGAAGGCAGGGAUUCCUGACGGACUGCGUCCCGUGAAUCCUCCCACUUCCUGCACUUUUGAAACCAAAGGUACCUUUGCGAAGAGAGAGAGAGAGAGGCUGGGUUUCCUUCAGAAAAUAUGGAUUUUUGGAUGGAUUUUCCUUUUGUUUUUUUGUUUAUUGUUUUUGUUUUUUCUGAGGAGGAUGGAGGUUUUUUUUGGAUGGGAUGCAACGGGAUUCGUGCAGUUAUUCUUUCUGCUCUGGAGACAUGUCAGUGACAGGGAUACUCCCACUGCUAUGGAUUGUGGAGAGGGACUUUGCCACAUCCCGAUGGAUCCCUGGAAGAGCCCGGAGUGGGCCGACAGGAGAGAUGGAUGCAAAUUAAUCCAAUGCAAAUGCCUUCCUUAAAAUAAUAAUUAUCAUUGAUCUUGGUCGUCUUCUCUGAUAGGUCAAGCGUGGGGUGAAGAUGGAGCUCGUGGGGUUGGAUUUGGUGACCUUGAAAAGGUCCUUUCCCACCCAAGUUGUUCCAUGAAACCAACAGCAAAGGAAUUCCAGGGUUUAGGUCAGGGUCAAGAGGCAGAGCCCCCUCAUAGAGCUGAGGGAGCUGUCCCAGGGAUGUCCCUCAUGUGUCACCCCCUGCCAGGACCCUCCAGCUGUGUCCCCUGGCAAGGGACAGCCCCGUUGUGACCCUCAGUGUGGACACAGCCACGCCCCAAUCCCAGUCCUGUGACUCCCAGAAUUCCAUCCAGCUUUUAGGCAAACACCCCCCAAGGCCAAAUGUGACACCACCCCUGGGAUGGGGACAAUCCCAUUCCCAAAGGUGACAUUGCCCCUGGGAUGGGGACAAUCCCAUUCCCAAAGGUGACACCGCCCCUGGGAUGGGGACAAUCCCAUUCCCAAAGGUGACACCGCCCCUGGGAUAGGGACAAUCCCAUUCCCAAACCAUUCCCAACUCCCUGCUGAGUUUGGACGAGUCCCUGCCCAAGCACCACUGGGAAUGAGAAACAAAUCCAGCCUCUGGAUCUGGGAUCUUCCCAGUGCUCCCAGUCCUUGCUGCUGACAGGGACCACAAAACUCCUCCAAACCUCUGGAAAUCAGGCCAGGAUUGCUGGAAGCUGGCCCAUGUUGGGUAUCCAUGAUAUGCCAUUCCCAUGAAAACCCGUAUUCCUGAACCACCUCAUCCCUGAGGAAAUCUCUCAGCAUCCCUUUGGAAAAAGGAAUGGGAAGGAGCUGGACUCUGCCCAACCUUAUCCCAAAUUUCCUCAUAAAAUUCCCCAGGUUACUUUGAGUAAUGAGAAAAGGCAGGAGAUGCAGAGGUGAACAAACAACUCAGUGUAAGUUACUCACAGUCCUGUCUCAGCUCUGUGUAAAAGUUACUCAAUGUUUGUAAGGUUUAGCAAAAAUUCUGACAUUUCUUCAAAAUUUCCCCCCUGGGGUUUUGGAGCCCAAAGACAAUUCAGGCUAAAAACUCAUCCUGAGCUUCUCAUCUCUUACUCCUUUGAGUAAAGUUCAAGGUUUGCACAGGGAGAAAAGCCCUGAGCCCAAACCUUCCACAGCGCUCACAGGGUGACCCCACAGAUCCCAAAAACCCAGACAGGGCUGGGAUGAACCCACACGGUGUCCCGGGAACAUCCUUGGAGCAGGAGAUGGAUGGAUGGAUGGAUGGAUGGAUGGAUGGAUGGAUGGAUGGAUGGAUGGAUGGAUGGAUGGAUGGACGGAUAACCCACACAAGGAUUUGUGGUGCUGAGGGAUCUUCCCCACCCUGAUCCUGAUUCCCUGGGAUCUGCUCUGCUGCUCCAUCCCCUCUCCAGAGGGGUCAUCCCGGUCACCUCCUGUCCUGAUUCCUGUGGUGGCCCGCAGGGCUGCUCCCAUUCCCACCACAGGGACCAUGAUCCUUCCUCGGGUUCUGCACAACCUCUCUGGGACAGGGAACACUUCCAUCUUUCCAGAAGAAAGAAUCCUUUCUUCAUCAAGGGUUUAACUUCUGAUUCAGAAAUAAAAAGGGAAGGGCCAGACCCAAAACUCCAGCACCACACCCCAAAUUCCAGCACCACACCCCAAAUUCCAGCACCACAGUCUCAGGAGCCGAGCUCAACCCCAAAUAUGUAAAUUUGUCCUGUUCCUACAACAUUCCAAGCCAACUCCACAUCCAUGUCCUGGAGACAAAUCCAGGCUCCAUCUCAGUUCCAGGGACCUCCCUGGCACUGAGCCCUGGGACAGCUGACAGGAACACCAGGAAUUCGGGAUACGAGGACAUCGCUGCGCUUCCCUGAUCCGGAGGCUGCUCCCAUUCUCCCUGAGGUGACACCACAACUGGAGGCACAAAACCAGCGGGAGAAGCUGGAAUUUCCAUCCAAACCCCAAAAUCCUGCUUGGAGAAACCCAACCCAACAGGACACGCUGUCCCUGCUGCCACCAUUGCCUUCCUGGAGGUGACAGAUCCCAAAUCCAGGCGUCACCAACAAUCCAGGAGGGAGAAGGGCAGAGCUGGGCAGCGUCACCUGGGGCCAUCACAGCGCUCGCUCUGGCCAUGCCACCACCUUUUCCUGGCACAGCCCAACGCCACCACCCACCCUGGCACAUCCCAAACCCUCUCCUCAUCUCCAGCAGAGCCGCGAGUGCCACCUGCGACGUCACCUCCUCGGCCCAGGCUUUCCUGCAACAACCAAGAUUUCAGUUAAGCAAUAAAAAUAAACAAAACCUUAUCAAGGAUAAAAAAAAAAAAAAACAAAAAAAAAGGACAAAAAAAAAGACAAAAAAAAAAAAGACACCUCCUAUUUCUUGCACUAAAAGCUGUUUUAUUAACGAGAAUAACGACGCUUUUCUGGUCCUCACAACGCCACCCACGGCAUCAGUAGCGCCCCUCGCCUGUGUCUCCGUGUCCUCACAUCAGGGUUUGGUUGUUCAAUGCUGUCUAAACCCCAUGUCGGACCCCCAAAAUUCUGUGUCAGCCCCCAAAUUCUAUGUCAAACCCUGAAAUUCAUGUCGAGCCCCAAAACUUUAUGUCAGACCUCCAAAACUCCGUGUCUAACCCUCAAAUUCCAUGUCAAACCUUCAAGUUCCAUGCCAAACCUCCAAAAUUCUGUCAGACACACAAAUUCUAUGUCAAGUCCCCCAAAAGUCUGUGUUAAGCCCCCAAAAUUCUGUGUUAACCCCCCAAAAUUCUGUCCGACCCCCAAACGUCCAUGUCAACCCCCAAAAUCCCAUGUCAACCCUCAAAAUUCCAUGGCAGACCCCCAAAAUUCCAUGUCAACCCCCGAAAUUCUAUGUCCACCCCCAUGUCCAUCCCAUGCCAACCCUCCAAAAUUUUGUCAACAACCCAAAAUUCCGUGCUGGACCCCCAAAAAUUCCAGGUCAACUCCAAAAUCCCACAUCAGAUCCCCAAAAUCCCAUGUCAGACCCCCCAGAACAGAGUCCUCCCUCCAAAAUAUCAUUUUAAAUGUCUGUUCCUCCCUCUCACAUCAGACAGAAAGUACCGGGACUGUUUUGUUCUAAUUUAAUUUAUAAAUAUCUCAUGAUCUGUCCGUCCUCUCUGUCCAAGCUCCCGGCUGGUCUCAAAUAUCCUGUGUAUUCAUUUGCCUUUUUUUUAAAGCAAAAAAAUAAAAACAAAGAAGAAGAAGAAGAAUUCACCACCUUUGCAUUAACCCCACGUGUUCCUGUGAGAAAUGUAAAGCUGAGGCUGUAAAAAUUCAGUUUCCAGCAAGAUUUGUGGACUAGAAGGGAAAAAAAAAGGGUUUAAUUUAAGGACUUCUAAACCAACUGCAUGAGGGAUGAGAGAAGGCCAAACUACUCAGAUAUCUUCUUUUUUUUUUUUUUUUUUUGAAUCACUAUAAAAAAAAAGAAAAGACUGGAUUUUUUUGUAUAGAGAAAACACUAAACAUAUAAUAAAACAUGGUUCAAAACUCA